rnacentral:rRNA from 1 species
CACGUAGGGGGCGAGCGUUGUCCGGAUUUAUUGGGCGUAAAGAGCGUGUAGGCGGCUUUACAGGUCCGUUGUGAAAACUCGAGGCUCAACCUCGAGACGCCGGUGGAAACCGUAAAGCUAGAGUCCGGAAGAGGAGAGUGGAAUUCCUGGUGUAGCGGUGAAAUGCGCAGAUAUCAGGAAGAACACCCGUGGCGAAGGCGGCUCUCUGGGACGGUACUGACGCUGAGACGCGAAAGCGUGGGGAGCGAACAGG